UGGGGAAUAUUGCACAAUGGAGGGAACUCUGAUGCAGCGACGCCGCGUGAACGGAGAAGGCUUUCGAGUCGUAAAGUUCUUUUAUAUGGGAAGAUAAUGACGGUACCAUAAGAAAAAGCCCCGGCUAACUACGUGCCAGCAGCCGCGGUAAUACGUAGGGGGCUAGCGUUGUCCGGAAUCACUGGGCGUAAAGGGUUCGCAGGCGGAAAUGCAAGUCAGGUGUAAAAGGCAGUAGCUUAACUACUGUAAGCAUUUGAAACUGCAUAUCUUGAGAAGAGUAGAGGUAAGUGGAAUUUUUAGUGUAGCGGUGAAAUGCGUAGAUAUUAAAAAGAAUACCGGUGGCGAAGGCGACUUACUGGGCUCAUUCUGACGCUGAGGAACGAAAGCGUGGGUAGCAAACAGG
rnacentral:rRNA from 3 species